GGCGGGAGUGAUGGUGGUGACGGCGGCAGAAGAGAGCACAGAAGAAGCCAUUUCGUUCUGCUUUUUUCCUUAGCUGCUAAUACGAGUACUAAUAAAGUAACA